rnacentral:rRNA from 1 species
AUUGAGCGCUGGCGGCAUGCCUUACACAUGCAAGUCGAACGGCAGCAUGGAGAGCUUGCUCUCUGAUGGCGAGUGGCGAACGGGUGAGUAAUGCAUCGGAACGUACCGUGUAAUGGGGGAUAAAGUAGCGAAGGUUACGCUAAUACCGCAUACGACCUGAGGGUGAAAGCAGGGGAUCGCAAGACCUCGCGGUAUACGAGCGGCAGGUGGCAGAUUAGCUAGUUGGCGAGGUAAAGGCACACCAAGGCGACGAUCUGUAGCGGGUCUGAGAGGAUGAUCCGCCACACUGGGACUGAGACACGGCCCAGACUCCUACGGGAGGCAGCAGUGGGGAAUGUUGGACAAUGGGGGCAACCCUGAUCCAGCCAUGCCGCGUGAGUGAAGAAGGCCUUCGGGUUGUAAAGCUCUUUCGGCCGGGAAGAAAUCGCACAGGCUAAUACUCUGUGUGGAUGACGGUACCGGCAUAAGAAGCACCGGCUAACUACGUGCCAGCCGCCGCCGUAA